UACGGGGUGCAGCAGGCGCGAAAACUUUGCAAUGCGGGAAACCGUGAUAAGGAAACACCGAGUGCCAUCAGCAGAGGAUGGCUGUUCUCCGGUGUAAGGAACAUCAGGAUAAGGGGCGGGCCAGGCCGGGUCAGCCGCCGCGGUAAA
rnacentral:rRNA from 1 species